rnacentral:rRNA from 1 species
UACAGAGGGGGCAAGCGUUAUUCGGAAUUAUUGGGCGUAAAGGGCGCGUAGGCGGCUUUUCAAGUGACGGGUGAAAUCCCUCGGCUUAACCGGGGAACUGCGUCUGAUACUGGAUGGCUUGAGAUUGGGAGAGGGAUGCGGAAUUCCAGGUGUAGCGGUGAAAUGCGUAGAUAUCUGGAGGAACACCGGUGGCGAAGGCGGCAUCCUGGACCAACACUGACACUGAGGAGCGAAAGCCAGGGGAGCAAACGGG